rnacentral:rRNA from 1 species
UACGUAGGUGGCAAGCGUUGUCCGGAUUUACUGGGCGUAAAGAGCGCGCAGGCGGUCGUUCAAGUCGGGUGUGAAAGCCCCCGGCUCAACUGGGGAGGGUCACGCGAUACUGAUCGACUGGAAGGCAGGAGAGGGAAGUGGAAUUCCCGGUGUAGUGGUGAAAUGCGUAGAUAUCGGGAGGAACACCAGUGGCGAAGGCGACUUCCUGGCCUGUUCUUGACGCUGAGGCGCGAAAGCUAGGGGAGCAAACGGG